rnacentral:rRNA from 1 species
UUGGAGGGCAAGUCUGGUGCCAGCAGCCGCGGUAAUUCCAGCUCCAAUAGCGUAUAUUUAAGUUGUUGCAGUUAAAAAGCUCGUAGUUGGAUUUCGGGGUCAGUAGGUUGGUCAUGCCACUGGUAUGUACUGGCCUCACUGAUUCCUCCUUCCUGAUGAGCCGUAAUGCCAUUAAUUUGGUGUUGCGAGGAAUCUGGACUGUUACUUUGAAAAAAUUAGAGUGUUUAAAGCAGGCUAACGCUUGAAUACAUUAGCAUGGAAUAAUGAAAUAGGACGUUCGAUCUUAUUUUGUUGGUUUCUAAGAUUGACGUAAUGAUUAAUAGGGAUAGUUGGGGCAUUAGUAUUCAAUUGUCAGAGGUGAAAUUCUUGGAUUUAUUGAAGACUAACUACUGCGAAAGCAUUUGCCAAGGAUGUUUUCAUUAAUCAAGAACGAGAGUUAGGGGAUCGAAGACGAUCAGAUACCGUCGUAGUCUUAACCAUAAACUAUGCCGACUAGGGAUCGGAUGAUGUUAAUUUUUUAAUGACUCAUUCGGCACCUUACGGGAAAC